rnacentral:misc_RNA from 1 species
GUGCAAAGUAAGAUUUUUGGUUCUGGAGUUAAAAUAAUGGAAACAACCUUCUUGUAAUAAAAGGGAAGACUGCACUCACCUAAUCCUCUCUGGAGUCAGCAGUGCAGGAAGCUACAUGCACUAAGACACCCUUUUCACUUUUGUUUUGUUUUUCUUGGUUGUAUUUAAAAUCUAUAAUGUGCCCAGCCUAUUUAAAAUCAUAUCCAAGUGGCUUCUCAGGGUUUCAUCUCUUUCUUGGAAAAGCAACUUUGGAUAUUUUAACAUUAGUUCAGGCUUGUUUCAAUUUGCUACUUUUCCUUUUGCUGAUCGUAAGGAAAACCUAAAAAUCAGCCCAGUACAUUUAUUAUGACAUCAAAGUGGCUUCUCACCAUCAUCUCUCUCCUAAAAAACAGUUAUUUUAGAUUAAUCAGUUGGCAAUUUUCUUUUCUCGCUGGUUAGAAGAAGCUCCUUACAUUCAUAGCGGGCCAGUUUACUAGACAAUUUGUAGGGCUCUCCAUUUUGACAGUUCUAUACUUGAUUGCUUCUAUAGUUACUAAAAUUGUCAGUUCACUGUUUAAAAUCGCCUCGUUAAGAUACGAGAUAUGCUGCAUAGAUCUAUUAAUUCCUUUUUCAACAAAUUUCUCUGUAAUCUUACAAAGAGGUCAAUCCUGGGCAUGCAUUCUAGUGUCUGGUAUACUUUUACCAUUAUAUUUAUUUGACAAGUUUUAUUUGAUUUGCAGCACUAUUACUGUGAUGAC